UCGGGAAUUUUGUGCAAUGGGCGAAAGCCUGACACAGCAACGCCGCGUGAAGGAUGAAGUCCCUCGGGAUGUAAACUUCGUAAGAAUAGGAAGAAUAAAUGACGGUACUAUUUGUAAGGUCCGGCUAACUACGUGCCAGCAGCCGCGGUAAUACGUAGGGACCAAGCGUUGUUCGGAUUUACUGGGCGUAAAGGGUGCGUAGGCGGCAUAUCAAGUCACUUGUGAAAUCUCCGGGCUUAACUCGGAACUGCCAAGUGAUACUGAUGUGCUAGAGUGCAGAAAGGGCAACUGGAAUUCUUGGUGUAGCGGUGAAAUGCGUAGAUAUCAAGAGGAACACCUGAGGUGAAGACGGGUUGCUGGGCUGACACUGACGCUAAGGCGCGAAAGCUAGGGGAGCAAACGGGAUUAGAUACCCCCGUAGUCCCUGAGCGGGCUGGCAAGGCGCAU
rnacentral:rRNA from 1 species